CCUACGGGAGGCAGCAGUGGGGAAUAUUGCACAAUGGGGGAAACCCUGAUGCAGCGACGCCGCGUGAGUGAAGUAGUAAUUCGUUAUGUAAAGCUCUAUCAGCAGGGAAGAAAAUGACGGUACCUGAGUAAGAAGCCCCGGCUAACUACGUGCCAGCAGCCGCGGUAAUACGUAGGGGGCAAGCGUUAUCCGGAUGUACUGGGUGUAACGGGAGCGUAGACGGCAGUGCAAGUCUGGAGUGAAAGGCGGGGGCUCAACCCCCGGACUGCUCUGGAAACUGUACGGCUGGAGUGCAGGAGAGGUAAGUGGAAUUCCUAGUGUAGCGGUGAAAUGCGUAGAUAUUAGGAGGAACACCAGUGGCGAAGGCGGCUUACUGGACUGUAACUAACGUUGAGGCUCGAAAGCGUGGGGAGCAAACAGGAUUAGAUACCCCUGUAGUC
rnacentral:rRNA from 1 species